UGUUCUAUAUCUAUUUGUGUUUUGGGUAUCUUCCUAUUGUUUAUUCAAUAAUGUGGCUACUGCUUGGUUGGCUUAAUUUGGUCUAAACUUUCAAUUGAAAUUGUACACAGAUCAUGUGAAUAUGUCUUUAAUUAGUGACUGCUGCUUGGAAUAUGCACAGCCGUUGUCGAAAGAUCUCUUUCUCUCUUCAUAGGUAUUGCCAGGUUUACAAAGUAAAUUGCUAUUCACUUGGGCUUGGUGUUUCUCUGUAUAUUUGUGUUGCUAGGUAUGUUGUAAAUAUUCGCUGGAGUGUGCAGUGUGAUGAUGUUUGCUAAUUACUUUUCUGUCUGGUAUCAUGCACUGGAUCCUAUUAGUAAUGUGUUCAAUCUACGCGUGGUAUUGCUUGA